rnacentral:rRNA from 1 species
UACGAAGGGGGCUAGCGUUGUUCGGAAUUACUGGGCGUAAAGGGCGCGUAGGCGGUGCCUCAAGUCAGGCGUGAAAGCCCCGGGCUCAACCUGGGAACCGCGCUUGAGACUGGAGUACUAGAGUUCGGGAGAGGAUGGUGGAAUUCCCAGUGUAGAGGUGAAAUGCGCAGAUAUCAGGAAGAACACCAAUGGCGAAAGCAGCUCUCUGGGACGGUACUGACGCUGAGACGCGAAAGCGUGGGGAGCGAACAGG